UGGCCGAGAGCCUCCAGCUUCUGGGAGGUCUUGGCAGGUGCCCUUGUACGGAGGCUGCCUAGGCUGCCUCGUGGAUUCUUCUGUACACCUGUCCUGGUUUUGAACUGAGCUGGCACUUGUUACUAUUCCCAUUGUCACUCCUGACUCAGGGACUGCAAGGGCCCUGGGACCACAGAGCCCAGGCUCCGUGUUUGAGUUCUUACACUCUGUGUCCAUUCUCUCAACACUGCCAGGGAAACCGAGACAAGCAAAAUGAUAUUUACCCAUAAUACCAACUUGAUUCCAGUCUCCGGCUGGCCUUUCUCAGGGCCCUAGGUAAGAAGCCCUGACUCAGGAACAAUUCACAGGCCGAGGGGUGGGGCCAUGGUUGUCCUAGGCCCUGUGUGAUGUCACUUCCACUUACCAGUUCUGUGAACCACCUGCCACCUUAUGGACUGGGUACAAUUACAGAAACAUCUGUCUGUUCACUCUUUUUGUGCUGAGAUUCCCAGAGCCCAGCACUUGUCCUACCUGGGUUUCAGUGUGGCAGCCUCUGGGUACCAGGUGUCCCACGCCCCUACUCUCUGGCUUGAGUUGCCCCACUUGACACUGGCAGAUGGCCCAGGCUGGGUUAGAGGUUGCACUAAACCAGGCCCCAUGAGUGCACCCACACAGCGCCAGCUAAGUCGAGUGGGGCCUUCAUUAGCAAGCAACUUUUGUUCAGAAUUAGAGCCAGUCCUUAAGUGGACCUGGGCCAGGUGGUUGGUCUGACCCCUCCUAACCACAACAGGGGGAAGCUGGUGGAAGAGCUGUUGUUUCAUGGAUACUACGAGGGCUUGGAGGGGGGCUCAGACCCCUGGCCCUGCCCUGAGGCUGCUGUAGACCACCUGCCACCCUGAGGUUUCAGGGACAGUGGCCUUAGAACUCCUCCCACAGCCUCCCACCGAGCCAGGGGCCCUCCAGAGGCCACUGACUGACCUAGAGGGAGUGGUGACCAGGAAAGGGGCCAUUGAGUUGGCCCUCAUCUGCCCACCCACUCCUCACUGGCAGGGAUUUGUGUGAAGACAAGGUAGUGAGGGAUUAAAGGGACAAUGGACUUUAAGACACUCCUACAGGCUUUUCUAAAGAAGCCAGGCUCACCUCUGCUCAGGAAAGACUUCAUGCAGUGCUCAAAUGCUCACAGCCAUCACAGGCCAGGGUUACUAGCAGUCUGUAAUGUUUUAGUGGUACACAUUGAGUCCCUGAUGGGAAAAUCUCUACGUUUUGCUGUUGAGAAAAACAAGGGACAGCAAAAGGCACAUUUAGUGUGGUGUUUGUUCACCAAUACAGAGAAGGCUCUUUAUCCUAAGGGGAGUGGGGCUGCUCAUUAUGUGAACUGAAUCAUUAGCUCAGCCAUCACAGAUAAAGAAGUACCGAUUGGUUUUCAGUAGUUGUUUUCCCACAUUUUGCAACCAUUUUAAUAAACUCUAAAGAGCACAAAACCUGCCCAUAAGCUGUACAACAAAAGCUGCAG